UACGUAGGGUGCAAGCGUUUGUCCGGAAUUAUUGGGCGUAAAGGGCUCGUAGGCGGUCCGUCACGUCGGGAGUGAAAACUUGGGGCUUAACCCCAAGCCUGCGGUCGAUACGGGCAGACUUGAGUUCGGCAGGGGGAGACUGGAAUUCCUGGUGUAGCGGUGAAAUGCGCAGAUAUCAGGAGGAACACCGGUGGCGAAGGCGGGUCUCUGGGCAGUAACUGACGCUGAGGAGCGAAAGCGUGGGGAGCGAACAGG
rnacentral:rRNA from 1 species